rnacentral:rRNA from 1 species
AGUGCUGCAUGGCUGUCGUCAGCUCGUGUCGUGAGAUGUUGGGUUAAGUCCCGCAACGAGCGCAACCCCCCAUCCUCAGUUGCCAUCAUUAAGUUGGGCACUCUGUGGAGACUGCCGGUGUUAAACCGGAGGAAGGUGGGGAUGACGUCAAGUCCUCAUGGCCCUUAUGACCAGGGCUACACACGUGCUACAAUGGCCGGUACAAAGAGUUGCAAUACCGCGAGGUGGAGCUAAUCUCAUAAAGCCGGUCUCAGUUCGGAUUGGAGUCUGCAACUCGACUCCAUGAAGUUGGAAUCGCUAGUAAUCGCGGAUCAGCACGCCGCGGUGAAUACGUUCCCGGGCCUU